rnacentral:rRNA from 1 species
CUGUGGAAACACGGCUUUCCCGCAAGGGACCUGAGUCGAGGUGCUGCAUGGCUGUCGUCAGCUCGUGUCGUGAGAUGUUGGGUUAAGUCCCGCAACGAGCGCAACCCUUGUCCUGUGUUGCUAAUCGCAAGAUGCACUCUCAGGAGACCGCCAGCGAUAAGUUGGAGGAAGGUGGGGAUGAUGUCAAGUCAUCAUGGCCUUUAUGUCCAGGGCUACACACGUGCUACAAUGGACGGUACAAACCGCUGCAAACCCGCGAGGGGGAGCUAAUCGGAAAAAACCGUUCUCAGUUCGGAUUGCAGGCUGCAACUCGCCUGCAUGAAGCUGGAAUCGCUAGUAAUGGUAUAUCAGAAUGAUACCGUGAAUACGUUCCCGGGCCUUGUACACACCGCCCGUCACAUCACGAAAGUGGGUUGUACUAGAAGUCUGCGUGCUAACCGCAAGGAGGCAGCGGCCCAAGGUAUGACUCAUGAUUGGGGUGAAGUCGUAACAAGGUAAGCGUAGAUGA